UAAACUGGGAUUAGAUACCCCACUAUGCUUAGCCCUAAACUCAGAUAGUUCCUCGAACAAAUCUAUCCGCCAGAGAACUACUAGCAACAGCUUAAAACUCAAAGGACUUGGCGGUGCUUUACAUCCCUCUAGAGGAGCCUGUUCUAUAAUCGAUAAACCCCGAUACACCUCACCACCUCUCGCUAAAUCAGUCUAUAUACCGCCAUCUUCAGCAAACCCUAAAAAGGAAGAAUAGUAAGCACAAACAUCUUAACAUAAAAAAGUUAGGUCAAGGUGUAACCCAUGAGGUGGGAAGCAAUGGGCUACAUUUUCUAUAUCUAGAACAACCCUUUACGAAAGUCCUUAUGAAAUUAAGAACCAAAGGAGGAUUUAGUAGUAAAUUGAGAAUAGAGUGCUCAAUUGAAUAGGGCCAUGAAGCACGCACACACCGCCCGUCACCA
rnacentral:rRNA from 1 species